rnacentral:rRNA from 1 species
UACAGAGGGUGCGAGCGUUGUCCGGAAUCACUGGGCGUAAAGGGCGCGUAGGCGGCCUGCUAAGUAGAGGGUGAAAUCCUGCGGCUCAACCGCAGGGCUGCCUUCUAAACUGUCAGGCUGGAGCACGGUAGAGGCGGAUGGAAUUCCCGGUGUAGCGGUGGAAUGCGUAGAGAUCGGGAAGAACACCAGUGGCGAAGGCGGUCUGCUGGGCCGUUGCUGACGCUGAGGCGCGACAGCGUGGGGAGCAAACAGG